GACGAACGCUGGCGGCGUGCUUAACACAUGCAAGUCGAACGGAAAGGCACUGCUUUUGUGGGGUGCUCGAGUGGCGAACGGGUGAGUAACACGUGAGUAACCGGCCCUUGACUUUGGGAUAACUUCAGGAAACUGGGGCUAAUACAGGAUAGGAGCUGCUGCUGCAUGGUGGGGGUUGGAAAGUUUCGGCCGUUGGGGAUGGACUCGCGGCUUAUCAGCUUGUUGGUGGGGUAGUGGCUUACCAAGGCUUUGAUGGGUAGCCGGCCUGAGAGGGUGACCGGCCUCAUUGGGACUGAGAUACGGCCCAGACUCCUACGGGAGGCAGCAGUGGGGAAUAUUGCACAAUGGGCGGAAGCCUGAUGCAGCAACGCCGCGUGCGGGAUGACGGCCUUCGGGUUGUAAACCGCUUUCGCCUGUGACGAAGCGUGAGUGACGGUAAUGGGUAAAGAAGCACCGGCUAACUACGUG
rnacentral:rRNA from 1 species